UCCAGUAUAUCCAUUACGUUCUUGUUCCACCAGAAUUAUAUAAGCUAGGCACGCACAGCUGCACAUGCUCGAUCUGUAGAUCAAUAUCUCUGUUUGUAAAACAAACAACGUGAUCGACGGCAUCAAUGCCACCCGGCCAGCUGCUCCCGAUCGAUGCCGCAGCUAGCAUGGCCAACAAUUUGCUUCAACAUCUCAAAAGAAAAAAAACAAUUUGCUUCAAUAUAUAUGAAUGUGGCGCCAAUUAAUAUACAGACCGUGCUGCUUAGGUACGUCAGAGUGUGUUGGUUUAAGCAAAAGCUUGCCCCUACCCAAAAAAUGGCUAGAAAAGAUUGGUUAC
rnacentral:lncRNA from 1 species